rnacentral:rRNA from 1 species
UACGGAGGGUGCAAGCGUUAUCCGGAUUCACUGGGUUUAAAGGGUGCGUAGGCGGGCAGGUAAGUCAGUGGUGAAAUCUCCGGGCUUAACCCGGAAGCUGCCGUUGAUACUAUCUGUCUUGAAUAUCGUGGAGGUAAGCGGAAUAUGUCAUGUAGCGGUGAAAUGCUUAGAUAUGACAUAGAACACCCAUUGCGAAGGCAGCUUACUACACGAUCAUUGACGCUGAGGCACGAAAGCGUGGGGAGCAAACAGG